ACGCGCAGAACCUUACCAACCCUUGACAUCNUGUGCCACUACCAGAGAUGGUACGUUCCCUUCGGGGACGCAGUGACAGGUGCUGCAUGGCUGUCGUCAGCUCGUGUCGUGAGAUGUUCGGUUAAGUCCGGCAACGAGCGCAACCCACAUCUUUAGUUGCCAGCAGGUUAAGCUGGGCACUCUAGAGAAACUGCCCGUGAUAAGCGGGAGGAAGGUGUGGAUGACGUCAAGUCCUCAUGGCCCUUACGGGUUGGGCUACACACGUGCUACAAUGGCAGUGACAAUGGGUUAAUCCCCAAAAGCUGUCUCAGUUCGGAUUGGGGUCUGCAACUCGACCCCAUGAAGUCGGAAUCGCUAGUAAUCGCGUAACAGCAUGACGCGGUGAAUACGUUCCCGGGCCUUGUACACACCGCCCGUCACACCAUNGGGANNUGGUUCUACCCGACNGACGCUGCGCUAACCCUNNGGNG
rnacentral:rRNA from 1 species